AGAGCGGCGGACGGGUGAGUAAUGCCUAGGAAUCUGCCUGGUAGUGGGGGAUAACGCUCGGAAACGGACGCUAAUACCGCAUACGUCCUACGGGAGAAAGCAGGGGACCUUCGGGCCUUGCGCUAUCAGAUGAGCCUAGGUCGGAUUAGCUAGUUGGUGAGGUAAUGGCUCACCAAGGCGACGAUCCGUAACUGGUCUGAGAGGAUGAUCAGUCACACUGGAACUGAGACACGGUCCAGACUCCUACGGGAGGCAGCAGUGGGGAAUAUUGGACAAUGGGCGAAAGCCUGAUCCAGCCAUGCCGCGUGUGUGAAGAAGGUCUUCGGAUUGUAAAGCACUUUAAGUUGGGAGGAAGGGCAGUAAAUUAAUACUUUGCUGUUUUGACGUUACCGACAGAAUAAGC
rnacentral:rRNA from 1 species